rnacentral:lncRNA from 1 species
GGCAGUGGUACUUUGUUAUGGUACUUAGCAAACUCAUACAGUAGGUAAAUUAUUCUACCCUAUGACCCGAUUCUUUUGAGAUUUACUCAAGUCCUCGUAGUGUGCCCCAAUGGAUUUGUAAUAGAAACAGAAUGGAAGAACAAAGUACCCUGUUCUUUCUAAGGGCUUCUAUUCCCAUGGAGUCCUGACGGGUCUGCCAAACAAAGGGUGAUCACAUGAUCAAGACUAUGACAUCCUAAGAUUCCUUCCCACUACAACUGGCCCAGGGGAGACUUCUGGCUCAAGCUGUCAAUCAGCCUCUCCUAGGAUCUGAAACCUGAAUGGCAAGAGGCCCUUAAAGGAAGAAGAAAAUUCAAGCUCCACAGACUCCUCCAGCUCUUUCCUGUUGACAUGAUGUAUUUACUGAGAAGCUCUUCUCAUAGGGUGAACUGAAGCUGAGAAGGCAGUGUCGCACAGGCCUGAGUCUGGGAAGUGGACCCAGAGUUAACGAGCAAGAAGUCCACAGGUUAUAUUGAAUGGCUGCCCUCCUAUCUUGUCUGGAAGAGAUCCCCAGAGGACCCCAGCUCUCAGAGCCAGAAAUUGGUUUCUUCCUUCCAAGCAGACAUGACUCCCCAGACUCUGACCCUUGGGAUGUAUGCACAAAACAUUUCUUUCCAUUCCGUCACCCAGGUAUCCACCGAGGCUUCCCUGCCACUCUGGCACCUGCAACUGAAAUGCUGUCCCUGUGCUCUGUUCUUUUUGUAGUUUUUUCACUACCUCAUAUUACAUUCUAAGCUUAUAGGUUAACUUGCUCAUUAUUUGACUCCACCACUAAAAAUAUAAAUUCCAUGAGAGAAGGCAAUUUGCUCUCUUUUUCACGACUGGAUCGUCAGAGCUUAAACAGUGGCUGGAACAUACAGUGAAUUCAACAAGUACCUGUUAAAUGAAUAAAUGAUUUAAAUAACACAGUCACUCUGUGCAGCUGAACAAAAAACUCAGCUCUGAUUCAAGAACUACUAAAUAAUUAACUCUACAAAAAUAUUACUUGGAAAUGUUGAUUUUACUGAAGAUUUUGGAUGGGAAAUAGAGAAAGGAUUUAUAUUGGAACUCUUCAUUAAAAAUUGUUCAACCUCAUUCAUAACAAAAAGAAUGCAAAUUAAAAUCGGACCAAGAAGCCUGCAGAGCCUAGGAAGAGUAAACAGAACUGUGGAGAUGGGGAGAGAAAGGAGGGGAAGGGAGGUACCUGGCACAUAGCCCAAGGGAACGAGAAAAGUAUUUAUGUGGGAGAGGGGCAGAGAUGUGAGAUGUGUUACAUACAGGAGGGAUGCUCAAAUAAACAACUAUUUAAGGAUAAUGUGAGCUAAGUUUCUCACUGUCAGAGAAGGGAAUUAAAAAUACAGAAAAGGAGAAAACUAUAAUGAAUCAUGUGAUGUUGGAUAAGAAUUGAAGGUAUGGUAUCAACCUAUAGUUGUAAUGUAUAGAAAUAAAUAAAUAUAGAUGUAAACAUGUGUCUAUUAAG